rnacentral:rRNA from 1 species
CCGGCGGCGGCCUAACACAUGCAGUCGAGCGGAUGAGAAGAGCUUGCUCUUCGAUUCAGCGGCGGACGGGUGAGCAAUGCCUAGGAAUCUGCCUGGUAGUGGGGGACAACGUUUCGAAAGGAACGCUAAUACCGCAUACGUCCUACGGGAGAAAGCAGGGGACCUUCGGGCCUUGCGCUAUCAGAUGAGCCUAGGUCAGAUUAGCUAGUUGGUGGGGUAAUGGCUCACCAAGGCGACGAUCCGUAACUGGUCUGAGAGGAUGAUCAGUCACACUGGAACUGAGACACGGUCCAGACUCCUACGGGAGGCAGCAGUGGGGAAUAUUGGACAAUGGGCGAAAGCCUGAUCCAGCCAUGCCGCGUGUGUGAAGAAGGUCUUCGGAUUGUAAAGCACUUUAAGUUGGGAGGAAGGGCAGUAAGCGAAUACCUUGCUGUUUUGACGUUACCGACAGAAUAAGCACCGGCUAACUCUGUGCCAGCAGCCGCGGUAAU